rnacentral:rRNA from 1 species
GGAAAACCACUUGCUGGGUGGAUUAGUGGCGAACGGGUGAGUAACACGUGAGUAACCUGCCCUUAACUCUGGGAUAAGCCUGGGAAACUGGGUCUAAUACCGGAUAGGAGCGUCCACCGCAUGGUGGGUGUUGGAAAGAUUUAUCGGUUUUGGAUGGACUCGCGGCCUAUCAGCUUGUUGGUGAGGUAAUGGCUCACCAAGGCGACGACGGGUAGCCGGCCUGAGAGGGUGACCGGCCACACUGGGACUGAGACACGGCCCAGACUCCUACGGGAGGCAGCAGUGGGGAAUAUUGCACAAUGGGCGAAAGCCUGAUGCAGCGACGCCGCGUGAGGGAUGACGGCCUUCGGGUUGUAAACCUCUUUCAGUAGGGAAGAAGCGAAAGUGACGGUACCUGCAGAAGAAGCACCGGCUAACUACGUGCCAGCAGCCGCGGUAAUACGUAGGGUGCGAGCGUUAUCCGGAAUUAUUGGGCGUAAAGAGCUCGUAGGCGGUUUGUCGCGUCUGUCGUGAAAGUCCGGGGCUUAACCCCGGAUCUGCGGUGGGUACGGGCAGACUAGAGUGCAGUAGGGGAGACUGGAAUUCCUGGUGUAGCGGUGGAAUGCGCAGAUAUCAGGAGGAACACCGAUGGCGAAGGCAGGUCUCUGGGCUGUAACUGACGCUGAGGAGCGAAAGCAUGGGGAGCGAACAGGAUUAGAUACCCUGGUAGUCCAUGCCGUAAACGUUGGGCACUAGGUGUGGGGACCAUUCCACGGUUUCCGCGCCGCAGCUAACGCAUUAAGUGCCCCGCCUGGGGAGUACGGCCGCAAGGCUAAAACUCAAAGGAAUUGACGGGGGCCCGCACAAGCGGCGGAGCAUGCGGAUUAAUUCGAUGCAACGCGAAGAACCUUACCAAGGCUUGACAUGUUCUCGAUCGCCGUAGAGAUACGGUUUCCCCUUUGGGGYGGGUUCACAGGUGGUGCAUGGUUGUCGUCAGCUCGUGUCGUGAGAUGUUGGGUUAAGUCCCGCAACGAGCGCAACCCUCGUUCCAUGUUGCCAGCACGUCGUGGUGGGGACUCAUGGGAGACUGCCGGGGUCAACUCGGAGGAAGGUGAGGACGACGUCAAAUCAUCAUGCCCCUUAUGUCUUGGGCUUCACGCAUGCUACAAUGGCCGGUACAAUGGGUUGCGAUACUGUGAGGUGGAGCUAAUCCCAAAAAGCCGGUCUCAGUUCGGAUUGGGGUCUGCAACUCGACCCCAUGAAGUCGGAGUCGCUAGUAAUC